rnacentral:rRNA from 1 species
GGAUUUGACCAGAAUAAGGCUACAGUUCACUAGAUCCCAUCUGAUCUUGGAAGUUAAGCAGAGUCAGGUAUAGUUAGUACAUGGAUGGGAGACUGCCAAUGAAUAUCAAUGUGUUGGAGGCU